rnacentral:rRNA from 1 species
UGCAGUCGAACGCUAAGGCCCUUUCUGCUGUACACGAGUGACGGACGGGUGAGUAACACGUGGGUAAUCUGCCCUGCCCUUCCUGAUAAGCCUGGGAAACUGGGUGUAAUACCGGAUAUGAAUCCCGGCCGCAUGGUCUGGGGUUGGAAAGUUUUUCUGUGCAGGAUGAACCCGCUCCCUAUCUAUUUGUUGGUGGGGGAAUGGCCUACCAAGGCGACCACCGACAGCCGGCCUGACAGGGAGAUCGGCCACACUGGGACUGACAGACGGCCCAGACUCCUACCUAAGGCAGCAGUGGGGAAUAUUGCUCAAUGGGUGGAAGCCUGAUGCAUGCACCCCCCCUGGGGGAUGACUGACUUCCUAUUGUAAACCCCUUUCUUUAGGGACGAAACACACCUGACGGUACCUGCACAAGAAGAACCGGCCAACUACAUGUCCGCACCCGCGGUAAUACGUAUGGUGCGAGCGUUAUCCGGAAUUACUGUUAGUGAAGAGCUCGAACGCGGAUUGGCUCGUCCUCUGUGAAAUCCUCCACCUUAACUGGAGGCGUGCACGCGAUACGGGCACACUUGAAUACUACA